rnacentral:lncRNA from 1 species
CUUGAAUUCUUCCCAUGAUUACCUUGACUGCCUUUCUGCAACUGCAAGGUAAGACUCCUCAAAUCUGCAUUUUCUUUAAAAAAGAACCUCACAUGUUUUUAUUCCCCUAUUCUGAAUAAAAAAGACAAGCAAAUCUUCCAAGUAUCAUUGUAUACAAUUUCCUCCUGUAGGGAUGAUUUGUGUGGAAAUGGAUCUCAAGUGACAUUUAUUAGUCAUCUUGCUUUAUGAGCUGUUCCUCUUAACUCACUCCAUGGGGCUAGGAAUAGAAAGAGUUUAUAUAGAUCACAGCUGCAAUCCCAUGCCUACUUAUGUAGGAGCAAGCCCCAUUGAAUUCAGUGGAACGUGCUUCAAAGUAAACAUGUACAGAAUUGCCCUGUAAAAUGUAAAAAUGUGUGUUUUUAAACAGUCCACAUGAAGAGAGAAAGUACCUGAAGUAACCUGAAGGAAUCUCAAGUAAGUAAUGUAGGUGAUUAUUUUUUACACAUUCCAGAAAAGCAAAAACACACAGGAAGGUGGCAAAGUGGGGCAAGUGAGGGGAGUGGCCUGGGGAAAGUGGGUGUGGCUGGGGAAGGGAUAUGGUUUGAGGUGACUGCUGAGGACCAGAUAGAGAUGUCCUGAGGACCCUGAUUCCCUCACAACCAGUCUUAGGUUCCCAACACCCACUCUAAAAUCUUGUAAGUGGAAUUGUUCUAGUGGGUGAUGGACCACUGUUAUUUCCCCCCUUUGUCUCAAAAACACAUGAAAAUGGAUAUUAAGCUGGUAUCGACAACAUUCUAAUUCAGGCAACAAUUUCCACGUUCCUCCAUUUCAGUUUACUGACAGUUACUUUUGCUUUUUACAUACUAAACAUAUGUUUUGGCUCUUGUUUCUGUGAUGAUAGGAAGGUGAGAUAGUUUAUUUCUUAACCCAUUUCCACAAGUAGUUCUCAAGCCUUUUCAGAGAACAUUUCCUUCAGUUCAUUUUUGUUUCAAAUUAGCAUUUAAUAGCUUUGCCUGAGAAAGCCAUUCUGAAUGUGUACUUUUCACAUUUUGUCUCUUUAGCUAUCAGCAUACAAUGUGAUUUUUAAAGCAAAGCUGGACAAAAAACAAAAUCUAUUCAGAUAGAACAAACCAACAAGAAAACACACAGGACUAUUUCCUAAAUAUUAUAUUACCCAUAGAAUCCUUUUCAGUAGCCAUUAGUUUUGCAAAAUAAGUUUGGCAGUAAAUGCUUCAGAACAUCGGAAACUUCAAUUGGUCCAUCUAACUCAGUAUUGUCUACACUGAUUGGUAGCAGCAGCUCGAGGCUUCCAGAUAGGGUUAUUUCCUAGCCUACUUGGAGAUGCUGGAGAUUGAACCUGGGACAGAUGCACACUACUGAGCUACAGCCCGUUCCCAAUUUUACAUUUGCACACUAAGCUAGUUUCCAUGCACUCACAUGUCCAUCUCUAUCCAGGCAAGCAAUAAGCAUUAUUAGAUUUCAAGGUACAUUCUAGCCAUGCAGAAACACCGAAGGAGGGUGCCAAGCAGGGCUUGUGAAGGUAUGUGGCUGGGUGUGUGUGCAUAUCUGGUGCUCAGGAGUCCUGGAGGACUGCAUUUGGCACCUGGGCUUGAGGUUCUCCAUCCCUGGCUUAGAAGCUAGUAGUGUGUCAGGAGCAAAAGGUGACAUCAACACUGCCAUGAUAAAAAACCUGGAUUAGCAGGUGGAAGGAAAGAGAUCGUCCUAGCUCUACUCAGUGGCGUAGCGUGGGGGGUGCAGCGGGGGCCGGCCGCACCAGGCGCAACAUCUGGGGGGGGGGCGCUCACACUCGCAGCUCUCUGAGUGCUAAAAUCCACGGGUUAGGGGGCGCAAAUUACUUGCCUUGCCCCGGGUGCUGACAACCCACGCUACGCCACUGGCUCUACUCACUUCCCAUAGCUUAAAUGACUGUUCAAAAUAGACUGCAGCUGAGCAAAACAUGACUUCCAAACCCACUAUUUGUGGGUGAAAUUGAGAACAUUUUGUCAAAUAUUCUCCUGGGAAGAAUUGAAAAAUUGCAACAGUUUUAGAAGAGUUGGGGUAGGGAGGGUUAAAAAGGCCAUAAACUUAUAUCAUGAGACAUUUCUGCUCACUUACAAUAUAAUCAAAUCAUCUUGAGUUCAAUGGAACUUUCACUCAGGUAACCAGUCCACUAUGUAACCUCUAGGAACUAGUCUGGAGGUUAUAAUAUCUAUAGGCAUUGCUACAUUGUGCCAAUAGAACAAUGAACCAAACUGUACAUGACUGCAGUAUGUAGACUACAGUAUGUAGAGGGCAGUGAAGAUCCUGUGUGAGUGCCUUGAGGCGGUUGGAGGUUGGAUGGCGGCUAACAGAUUGAGGUCGAAUCCUGACAAGACAGAAGUACUGUUUUUGGGGGACAGGAGGCGGGCAGGUGUGGAGGAUUCCCUGGUCCUGAAUGGGGUAACUGUGCCCCUGAAGGACCAGGUCCACAGCCUGGGAGUCAUUUUGGACUCACAGCUGUCCAUGGAGGCACAGGUCAAAUCUGUGUCCAGGGCAGCUGUUUACCAGCUCCACAUCUGGUACGCAGACUGAGACCCUAUCUGCCUGCGGACUGCCUCGCCAGAGUGGUGCAUGCUCUGGUUAUCUCCCGCUUGGAUUACUGCAAUGCGCUCUACGUGGGGCUACCUUUGAAGGUGACCCGGAAACUACAACUAAUCCAGAAUGCGGCAGCUAGACUGGUGACUGGGAGCGGCCGCAGAGACCACAUAACACCGGUCUUGAAAGACCUACAUUGGCUCCCAGUACGUUUCCGAGCACAAUUCAAAGUGUUGGUGCUGACCUUUAAAGCCCUAAACGGCCUUGGUCCAGUAUAUAUUGAAGGAGCGUCUCCACCCACAUCGUUCUACCCGGACACUGAGGUCCAGCACCGAGGGCCUUCUGGCGGUUCCCUCACUGCGAGAAGCCAAGUUACAGGGAACCAGGCAGAGGGCCUUCUCGGCAGUGGCGCCUUCCCUGUGGAACACCCUCCCACCAGAUGUCAAAGAGAACAACAACUACCAGGCUUUUAGAAGACAUCUGAAGGCAGCCCUGUUUCUGGAAGCUUUUAAUGUUUGAUGUAUUAUAGUAUUUUAAUAUUCUUUUGGAAGCCGCCCGGAGUGGCUGGGGAAGCCCAGCCAGAUGGGCGGGGUAUAAAUAAUAAAGUAGUAGUAGUAGUAGUAGUAGUAGGUAACCAUUUGUAUUGCAGUGGUACACUAAAUUGCAGUGUGAAAACAAUUUCCCAGCUGCUGCGGGUGGUAGCCAUGAAUGGCCAUUUCACAAAGGGAGUUAUUCACUACCACAAUACCAUUCAGUUCACAAUGAACUUCCAAAACCUCAUUAAGCUUAGAUCUCUCUGGAAGCAAGUCCUGUAGCUGAGGAGUAUCCACAAAAUGUGUGUCUCUGCAUGACUUUAUUUCAGGGAUUUUGUCACAGUCAAUAAAGAUAGAAAAGUUAUAGAUAGACCCAUAGACAUUGUGGACCAAAAAGAAUUGUUUUAAAUACACGUGGCAUUGUCACAUCAGCUACAACAGAUUGCAGUGUUGUUCUUCAUUUUGCUAGCCAGCCAACCAGCUGUGCUCUCGUCUAAGACACCUCAUUCCUAUUCUCAGUUUUCUGUUCACCAUCCCCAACAGGCAGUUGGUGUUCUGUGGCAACUGGCCACACUCAUUCUUCAGUGGACUGUUGCAGGGUUCUCACUUAAAAUAUUUUUGUCUUUCUUCCAGUGUUGAAGUUUCUCAAGUAUCUGUAUUCUUCUCUCUCACUUCUCAGUGCCUCUGCUUUUUGGGCUACACUCCUGUCACAGCAUACAACAGCUCAGUUUGCUAUUAGAGGAAAAUACACAUGCAUAUACAAAGUACAAAUGAAAUACAAAUACCCUUAGAUUUAUAAACUGCAUAAAAAUCUAUGCUGUAUAAAAGUAUAAGUAUUUCAUUUUUUCCUCAACGCCUUCUCCUCAUAUGUUUUUACAAAUAUAUCUGCAAAUGAGACAUGUAGGUUGGCAAUGUCAGCCUCACUAUGUGGGAAUCCCUUGCAGAUGACCACACUGCCUGGAGACAGUCAGUCACGUUGUGUAUCCACAGUAGUGACCAGAGGAGGAAUGACCACUGGGAGGAGCAUAGAGAGAAGAAACACCAUGGUGCAUUUGCAACAUCACAACUGGCUGCCUUCAUCUGCCCCAGCUGCAACAAAACAUGUCUCUCCCAUAUCAGUCUCUACAGCCACAGCAAUCUCAGUAACUCUCCAAUAGUUUGACUUCACCCCCAAAGGCACACUCCUCCACUGUCUCCUGAAGCAGAUGGAUGCCAACAGCAAGAAGUUGUGACAUCACUACAGAGCUUUGCAUUUUCCACUAGGAAUGCAAAAAUAGUUUCAUAUUCAAAAUAUAAAUGACUUGCUAUCAAACAUUAUUCUGUAGGUUUUAUUUCUGUCAAAUACAUUUCAUUGUGUUUCAUUUCUUUAAUCUUCUUUUCCAAAGCCCAUGACAGAACAGGAU